GACGAACGCUGGCGGCGUGCCUAAUACAUGCAAGUAGAACGCACAGUUUAUACCGUAGCUUGCUACACCAUAGACUGUGAGUUGCGAACGGGUGAGUAACGCGUAGGUAACCUGCCUGGUAGCGGGGGAUAACUAUUGGAAACGAUAGCUAAUACCGCAUAAUAUUAAUUAUUGCAUGAUAAUUAAUUGAAAGGUGCAAUUGCACCACUACCAGAUGGACCUGCGUUGUAUUAGCUAGUAGGUGAGGUAACGGCUCACCUAGGCGACGAUACAUAGCCGACCUGAGAGGGUGGUCGGCCACACUGGGACUGAGACACGGCCCAGACUCCUACGGGAGGCAGCAGUAGGGAGUCUUCGGCAAUGGACGAAAGUCUGACCGAGCAACGCCGCGUGAGUGAAGAAGGUUUUCGGAUCGUAAAGCUCUGUUGUAAGAGAAGAACGGGUGUGAGAGUGGAAAGUUCACACUGUGACGGUAUCUUACCAGAAAGGGACGGCUAACUACGUG
rnacentral:rRNA from 1 species